UACGUAGGUGGCAAGCGUUGUCCGGAUUUAUUGGGUUUAAAGGGUGCGUAGGUGGCUUUUUAAGUCAUGGGUGAAAGCCCGCAGCUCAACUGUGGAAUUGCCUGUGAUACUGAGGAGCUUGAGUGCGGUUGAGGCAGCUGGAAUUGGUGGUGUAGCGGUGAAAUGCAUAGAUACCACCGGGAACACCGAUUGCGAAGGCAGGUUGCUAAGCCGUAACUGACACUGAGGCACGAAAGCGUGGGGAGCAAACAGG
rnacentral:rRNA from 1 species